rnacentral:rRNA from 1 species
AUUGAACGCUGGCGGCGUGCCUAACACAUGCAAGUCGAGCGGUAACAGGUGUAGCAAUACAUGCUGACGAGCGGCGAACGGGUGAGUAAUGCUUCGGAAUCUACCCAAUGGUGGGGAAUAACCAGCCGAAAGGUUGGCUAAUACCGCAUACGUCCCACGGGAGAAAGCAGGGGAUCGCAAGACCUUGCGCCAAUGGAUGAGCCGAAGUCGGAUUAGCUAGUUGGAGGGUAACGGCCUACCAAGGCGACGAUCCGUAGCUGGUCUGAGAGGACGACCAGCCACACUGGGACUGAGACACGGCCCAGACUUCUACGGGAGGCAGCAGUGGGGAAUAUUGGACAAUGGGGGAAACCCGUGAUCCAGCGACGCCGCGUGUGUGAAGAAGGCCUGCGGGGUUGUAAAGCAC